UGGGGAAUAUUGGGCAAUGGGCGCAAGCCUGACCCAGCGACGCCGCGUGGGUGAUGAAGGCCUUCGGAUUGUAAACCCCUUUCGGGAGGGAAGAUGGAAUGGGGUAACCCAUUCGGACGGUACCUCCAGAAGCAGCCACGGCUAACUUCGUGCCAGCAGCCGCGGUAAUACGAAGGUGGCAAGCGUUAUUCGGAUUUACUGGGCGUACAGGGAGCGUAGGCGGUUCGGUAAGCCCUUUGUGAAAUCUCCAGGCUUAACCUGGAACAGUCGGAGGGGACUGCCGGGCUAGAGGACGGGAGAGGAGCGCGGAAUUCCCGGUGUAGCGGUGAAAUGCGUAGAGAUCGGGAGGAAGGCCGGUGGCGAAGGCGGCGCUCUGGAACGUUUCUGACGCUGAGGCUCGAAAGCGUGGGGAGCAAACAGGAUUAGAUACCCAGGUAGUCCCUGAGCGGGCUGGCAAGGCGCAU
rnacentral:rRNA from 1 species